UACGUAGGGUGCGAGCGUUAAUCGGAAUUACUGGGCGUAAAGCGUGCGCAGGCGGUUCGUUAAGUCAGAUGUGAAAGCCCCGGGCUCAACCUGGGAACUGCAUUUGAAACUGGCGGGCUUGAGUAUGGCAGAGGGGGGUGGAAUUCCGCGUGUAGCAGUGAAAUGCGUAGAGGUGCGGAGGAACACCGAUGGCGAAGGCAGCCCCCUGGGCCAAUACUGACGCUCAGGCACGAAAGCGUGGGGAGCAAACAGG
rnacentral:rRNA from 1 species